rnacentral:rRNA from 1 species
UACGAAGGGGGCUAGCGUUGCUCGGAAUCACUGGGCGUAAAGCGCGCGUAGGCGGAUCUUUAAGUCAGGGGUGAAAUCCUGGAGCUCAACUCCAGAACUGCCUUUGAUACUGGGGAUCUCGAGUCCGGAAGAGGUGAGUGGAACUCCGAGUGUAGAGGUGAAAUUCGUAGAUAUUCGGAAGAACACCAGUGGCGAAGGCGGCUCACUGGUCCGGUACUGACGCUGAGGUGCGAAAGCGUGGGGAGCAAACAGG